AGGGUCAUGUUGAGAUUGGAGCUCACUUGACUUAGACUUGUUUGAGUUGGUUAAGGACCUACCUUUGUAGCUGGACUCUUGAGCACUAUUCCGUACAAACCACAUACUUAAUAUGGGAAUAGUAAGCCAAGUAGCAUAAGUUGCACCUUGCCUUGACUGGAUUCGGCGCGGGAUGGGAUGAGGUGUGAUCGACCAUGUCUGAUGCAUCUAUACAUUUUCAGCCGUUCAUUCAUAGUCGGGUGUGGGUAUGUGAACAGUUGGGCGCAUGAAUCAACACUUAUCCUAGGCUAAGGGUAUGGUCAUUGAUCUUGCAUCUCAUGUGGGAAAAGUUGUACACCCCUGCAGGGUACUAAUUUAUUGCGAUAGCCUUACUCUAGGUCACGGAGCACGAUCCUGAGUUUUGAAUUUCAAAGUAGAGUUACUGUUGACGGCAGUUAGCAUGCCAGUUUGAACUGCAAGCGCACAGAUCAGUUAUAGCUUUUCCCUUAGUGUAUUCCCCCAAGGUUUAUCAAUCCGUGAAAACAAGGUCACAGGAUCUAGACUAACUAAGCAUCAGAAAACAUGAUUCAGGUUGCAAUAUGAUUGUGAAUACGGAUGAAUAUAGAUAUAAAGCAUGAGCAGAUAUGAAUAAGAGGUAACUCAUCUAGAGCAAAACCUAAAUUAUGCAUAUGUUGUAGUUCUAGCUAGAUGGCAAGCAAACACAUGGUUCUCAUUCAAAGCAUCUUUAAACCACCACCUCCGGUCUGACUCCCGAAAACC
rnacentral:lncRNA from 1 species